rnacentral:rRNA from 1 species
GAGAGGGUGAGACUCCCGUCCGCCUGGUAGAGUGAGUCAUGUGUCAACGAGUCGAGUUGUUUGGGAUUGCAGCUCUAAUUUGGUGGUAAAUUCCAUCUAAAGCUAAAUAUUGGUGGGAGACCGAUAGCGUACAAGUACCGUGAGGGAAAGAUGCAAAGAACUUUGAAAAGAGAGUUAAAGAGUACCUGAAAUUGCUGAAACGGAAGCGAAGGAAACCAGUGUUUGUUGGUUCAUAUUUCCUUAACCACUUGUGGUUUGGGCGCUGUGAGCUUGCGUGAGUUUGGGUUGGUUGAUUCCUUUGGAAGAGCGCAGACAGAGUUGAUGUUUGUUGCUAGCACUGGGAUUGACUGAUGCAGACGAAAUGGUUUUCUUUACCCCGUCUUGAAACACGGACCAAGGAGUCUAACAUAUGU